rnacentral:rRNA from 1 species
UUAAGUAUAAACCCCUUUACAAGUAUCAAUUGGAGGGCAAGUCUGGUGCCAGCAGCCGCGGUAAUUCCAGCUCCAAUAGCGUAUAUUAAAGUUGUUGCAGUUAAAAAGCUCGUAGUUGGAUUUCUGUUAAUUCUUAUAUAUAAUACUACGGUAUUUAUAUAACAUUAACAUAAUUCAUAUUACUUAUUUUAAAGUAUAUGAAAUUUUACUUUGAGAAAAUUAGAGUGCUUAAAGCAGGCUAUUGCCUUGAAUACUCCAGCAUGGAAUAAUAUUAAAGAUUUUUAUCUUUCUUAUUGGUUCUAAGAUAAAAAUGAUGAUUAAUAGGGACAGUUGGGGGCAUUUGUAUUUAACAGUCAGAGGUGAAAUUCUUAGAUUUGUUAAAGACAAACUACUGCGAAAGC